CCUACGGGCGGCAGCAGUUGGGAAUCUUUCACAAUGGGCGAAAGCCUGAUGGAGCAACUCCGCGUGCAGGAUGAAGGCCUUCGGGUUGUAAACUGCUUUUAUAAGCGAGAAAUAUGAUGGUAACUUAUGAAUAAGGAUCGGCUAACUACGUGCCAGCAGCCGCGGUCAUACGUAGGAUCCGAGCAUUAUCCGGAGUGACUGGGUGUAAAGAGUUGCGUAGGUGGCAUAAUAAGUAGCUAGUGAAAUCUGGUGGCUCAACCAUUCAGACUAUUAGCUAAACUGUUAAGCUCGAGACCGUUAGGGGUAACUGGAAUUUCUAGUGUAGGAGUGAAAUCCGUAGAUAUUAGAAGGAACACCAAUAGCGUAGGCAGGUUGCUGGGACGGUUCUGACACUAAGGCACGAAAGCGUAGGGAGCAAACGGGAUUAGAUACCCCAGUAGUC
rnacentral:rRNA from 1 species